GAUGAACGCUGGCGGUAUGCUUAACACAUGCAAGUCGAACGGACUCUUCGGAGUUAGUGGCGGACGGGGGAGUAACGCGUGAGAAUCUGGCUUUGGGUUCGGGACAACCACUGGAAACGGUGGCUAAUACCGGAUGUGCCGAGAGGUAAAAGAGAAAUUGCCUGAAGAUGAGCUCGCGUCUGAUUAGCUAGUUGGUGAGGUAAAGGCUCACCAAGGCAGCGAUCAGUAGCUGGUCUGAGAGGAUGACCAGCCACACUGGGACUGAGACACGGCCCAGACUCCUACGGGAGGCAGCAGUGGGGAAUUUUCCGCAAUGGGCGAAAGCCUGACGGAGCAAUACCGCGUGAGGGAAGAAGGCUCUUGGGUUGUAAACCUCUUUUCUUAGGGAAGAACAAAAUGACGGUACCUAAGGAAUCAGCAUCGGCUAACUCCGUG
rnacentral:rRNA from 1 species